GCCAGUGAGAGCAACUCGCUUCCGGUCCCUAAAAGGGUCAGUAUACACAGCGCGUUAAUAUUUUCGGAGGUGAACCCAAAGUUAGCCGUGAAAUGAGGAAAAACCACGUCCUCAGCAGGUACAUCAAGUGAUUUAUGAUGGAGGCCGUGGUGUCGAUGCUCGUGCUCAGUACAGGCGGUGUGUCGAGUUCUCUUUUUAAAAUUGUCGUAAGUCCUUGUUCAAUUCACGAAAUAUUAUCUGAUUAAUUACAGCUGAUCGUCACUGAUGAUGGUUUUUAGAUUUUUUUCUUUUAUCAGCUGCUGUUUAAUGAAUGGCACUGGAUUCACUGCCUCGUGUUGUAUAUUUCAGUAAAACUAGCAAACGAACGCACUUACGUCCUGACUUAUCAAUUGUCUUCCCCAGAGUCCCUUACACCUUCCGCCGCGGGGACAUCCUCAUACUCAAAUUUUGAACGUCGUUACCACCUCCCGACUCCUUGUCGUUAGGCGCGUAUAUUCGAACCUCACAACCUUCCUUCUACAGGUUAAUGAUCUUGCCGAUAAUGAGAGACCCCGACUUGAUACACCUGACCCCUGCUACCCUCCCGACAGUCAAUGACCUUGGGCCCCGGCAGGGGCAAAGGCCGAGACAAGCAUACCUGACCAGGUACCCUCCCGAAGGUCAAUGACCCGGUGAAGGGAGAGAGGGGGGUAUGUUUUGGCGCCAGUGACCCAAGGGAGGGGGGAGGGGAAAGGGGGGUAUGUUUUGACGCGGAAAAGCUGUACUAUUCUACUAAUACGCUUUAUCAAGAGCUUCAAGAGGAGUUUUGAGACCGGAGUUUAUAUCCCUUUUGACCGAUUAUAUAGAUGACCUGCUUUUCACAUCAAAGUCAAUCGAAGACCAUUUCAAGCAUUAGAUAUAGUAUUUGGGACCCCACAAAGCCACAAUUUUACAAUGAAACUGAAGAAGUCGCUGUUUUUUCGGGAAUUCGUUUUAUUUCUAGGAUUUGCGCUGUGUACAAAAGGUAUCCGUGCCCACCCGAAAAGAGUCCAAACGAUUUGGGAAUUUAAACAGCCAACGAACAAAAAACAGUUACAGCGGUUCAUUGGUGUCUGUAAUUAUUAUCGCCAGUUUAAUUACAGAUACUCAAAUGCUAUUGAUGCAUUCAGAGACCUAUUAUCUAGCGAAGGAAAAUGGUAUUAAACAGAAAAAUACACAAUCGCAUUUAAAAACCUGAAAGAAAACUUUUUAGAGACAACAACAUUAUACCAUGUGAUUUCGAACAAACUAUUCACAAUACAGACGGACGCUAGUGACAAAGGGAUCAAUUAUAUCAAGAGGAUGAUCAAUGAAAUAAAAAUUUGAUUUUAGUCGUGAGCCGUUGUUUAUUGUGGUGUGAGAGGAAUUACACAACAAUGGAAAGAGAACUCGUGGUAAUUGUUUAUGCGCUUGAACAAUUUCGAAUCUAUGUCUACGGAAAAACAUUCGGAUUAUUAACCGAUCAUUACAGUAUGACUUUCCCCUCUAAAACGCCAUUUCGUAACGGCAGAAUCGUACAGUGGGGCUAACUCAUACAGCAGUACGAAUUUGACAUUCAGUUUUCCAAAGGAAACACAGAACGUUGUUGCUGACUUCUUCAGUCGCAAUCCAAACUUAGUGAUGAACGAGUAAACGAAAAUACAUAAUUGCAAAAUUAAACAAAACCACAGAUCAAUUCACAAAAAAAAAAUCCGUUGGAGAUUAAUACCUUAGACAGCGAGAUACGUGAACAAUUCGAAAACUUAGAAGAAUUACAACAGCAAGACCCCGAUAUCCAUGAAAUAAUUGAGACAACACAAGGUAGAGACGAGGCGAGGUAUAAGAUAUUUGAGAAGAUACUGUUUCACAAGGAAUUGCGUGGCGAUGAGAAUUGGCGUAUUGUUAUAACAAAAACAAUGAUACAAAAAAUAACAAAUAGGGUACAUUGUAAAUUAGAGCAUGUAGGGUAUUACUAAACAAUGAAAUAUUUAGGUCACUAUUAUUAUUGGAAACACAUGAACACUCAGAUUACUCAGAUUAAACAAAAUGUUCUGGCGUGUGAUCUAUGCCAAAGGAUAAUAAACAUAACAUACGCAAUGGAAGGUGAGUAUUGAGGGGGAGAAUCGUUGAAACCGGACGAUUUAAUCAUGGUCGAUUACUUUGGUCCUUUGUCUAGAUCCACGUUUGAAACUUUUUGAACAUUUUCUAUCCUACCAAAUACAUUUUUCUGAAUUUUUUCAGAUUUUCUUACCCAACCCAAAAAAAGUUACGAAUUUUGGAGAAAAAACCGCUCCUUUUUUCUUAAAUUGCGAUAACUUUUCCACAAAUUGAACUUUCGGCUCUUUUUGAUUAUUAAAUUUCUGUUUUUGAAUGUAGGUGUAACGUGCGACUUUGGGCGCGUCAACAAUUAUAAAGGGUUCGCCCCUUGCUGGAAGUUUUGAUAUGAUAAAGGUUCGACGAUUGGUGUUCUCGUGAUUACUUAUUUAUUAAUACGUAAGAAGCCCUAUUUGAUGAAGAGGAUUGAUGUUGCUCAGCCGGAUGGUAGUGGAGAGACUUUGGAGAUAUUUUUGCUCAGCCGGAUGUUAGUGGAGAGUCUAAGUUUUGAAGGAAUAGCGAGAAGAAGGAAGGCUCGAAAUUAGGUGGGGUUUUUAGCUGAGUUUGCAUGCCGUUGCAGCUAGCAACAGUCUGCAGAGUGAUGCGGUGGAGAAAUAGGAGAAGAGGAUGUAGAGGGUCGGGUUGAUCGUGGUAUAGUUUGAUUGUAAGAGAAGGAGAAAGUGAAGAAGAAGAAGAGGAGGAGGCGUUAGACGUAACAUAGGUUUCAGAAAAAAAUACAAAAAUUUUUUCGGAAGUCACCAUAUAUGAAAAUUUCAGUUUUUUCAAUAAAACCAUCAUUUUUUCGAACUUUGACCCCUUCGAUUCUCAAGUUUUUUGUCUCAAGAAAGAAUUCAAUUGAGACAGUAUUUAACCCCGCUAUUCUCAUUUUGUGCCGACUUUCCAUUCUAUUUGUUUUUUUUUAUUAAAAAAAAAAAAUGUGAUAUGGCUUAUUUUUUUUUGACUUUGCGCUGUAGUUUUUUUCACCGUGGGAGAGCCCGAACGGAUUUUAUCGGAUAAUGGAACGCAAUUUGCAUCCGCCAAAUGGAAAGUGACAUUAGAAAAUCUAGGGCUGAAUGUAAUUUAUGCAUCCGUACGAUCCUCAAUGGAAUCCUACGGAACGGACAAUGCUAGAAUCGGGGCGUUUUUUUCGUGCACUGGUUCGGAUAAGCAGAUCAAAUGGGCAAACUUUAUAAAAUAUGAUAAGCAGAUUUUAAAUGCAACUAUCCACAGAUCAACGGAGUUCAGCCUUUAUGAACCACAAUUUGGUCAUAGUCAUGAAGAUAAAAUUGUAAAACUAAUUAGAUUUCCCGAGAACGAAGUUGAAUCAUGAUUAUAAGAUUGAAAGAGCACGAAAAACGCUAUCUAAGACUUUUUCACAAAAACAGAAACGACAAAAAGGCGUGUCAAAGAUUAUUUCAAAUGUAGUAUUAGCUCGUAUACCUCACCAAUCAAAUGCGAUGAAAAAGGUCAUAAAGAAAUUGUUCGACAUUUAUUACGCCCGUUCGUAAUCGAUGAAGUAUACUGCAACAAUUCAUAUCGGCUUGGUGGCAAUGGUAAUAAAAAGAAACAAACAGAAAUUUAUAACCGAUACCAUCCAAGAAAGUACAAGCAGCCUACUAAUCAAUAAUUGAAUUUUAUAAGCAUGUGACCAAUGACGACUUUUACAGAAUCAACAUUUCUAAUUACGUAGACAAUUCUGGAAACAAUAGACGAUGGAUAACAGAUAAUAUUGGAUGAAAGACUGUUUAUACAUAUGCACGUGUAUGUGAUUAGAAUUAAGAAAAUAAAAUUUAGUAACGACGACACAUUUGCGAUUAUAAAAUGAGAGCAAUUAGUAAUUAGAGGAUGGACAAUUUAAAAAGGAUACAAUAUAUGAUAAUAAACUGAUUAUCUGAAAAGAGUUCAAUGGAAACCCUCACAGACGUUGUGAGGUUCGAAUAUACGCGCCUAACGACAGGGAGUCGGGAGGUAGUAACGAUGUUCAAAAUUUGAGUAUGAGGAUGUCCCCGCGGCGGAAGGUGUAAGGGACUCUGGGGAAAACAAUUGAUAAGUCAGGACGUAAGUGCGUUCGUUUGCUAGUUUUACUGAAAUAUACAACACGAGGCAGUGAAUCCAGUGCCAUUCAUUAAACAGCAGCUGAAAUAAAAGAAAAAAAUCUAAAAACCAUCAUCAGUGACGAUCAGCUGUAAUUAAUCAGAUAAUAUUUCGUGAAUUGAACAAGGACUUACGACAAUUUUAAAAAGAGAACUCGACACACCGCCUGUACUGAGCACGAGCAUCGACACCACGGCCUCCAUCAUAAAUCACUUGAUGUACCUGCAAAUAAAGAACCGACAAAUCAAAUAAAUGGAAAUUCCAAAAUAUCUCGAUCGUACCUGCUGAGGACGUGGUUUUUCCUCAUUUCACGGCUAACUUUGGGCUCACCUGCAAAGAAGAAAUCAGUAUAAAGAUAAGUGGAAUUUCACCAAGGAAACGAUUAGGGAAAAUUGUUCCUACCAUUCAAGUCCAGUGAAUCUCCCCAGAGGACAAUUUUACUAUAACUAUUUUAUUUAUACAAUUAUACACCGACUCUUAAUUCAUUCAUAUAUAUAUAUAUACAGUGCGUAAUAUUUACUUGCAACGAUUUUACGUUAUUUAUGUACAUAUGUGAGAGGGAUGUGUGAAUGUUUUGUAUUCUCGUUUAUUUAUAUUGAAUCGUUGUUGCCGUAAUAAGGAAAUGUUAUAAAAAUCAUUACAUAAUGAAAAGAUUCAGAGAAGCAAAAUUAUAACGGGGCAGUAAAAAGUUAUAGAAAACAAGUCAUGUAUUAUGGCGUGUUUUUUCUUUUGUUGAAUAAUUAGCUUGUCUAGGUGAUGUUCUCAAGAUUUAUGUUAUUCUAUUUGCCAACAUGGACAAGUAUGAAUAUCACGUCGUUCAGCAGUCAACUGACCAUCAGAUUACCCGUUCAGGAUUAGCAAUCCUCGACAUACACUUAUAAUACACUUACAUUGGAGAUUAGCUUUACAUUUAUCCUUCAGCAUUUACGUUAGAUAAUCAGUGAAGAUGCAUCCAAACCAGAUGGUCUAGACAACAAGUGCCUGUUUAGUUAACCUUUUUCAGCAGUCUCGGAAGAAUAUGAACGAGUGUCUUUCGAUUCGGAACAGCAUUAUGAUGAUUCUCGAAAGCAAUCAAGUAAUAAACAAUUGAGGAUAAAGUAAGGGGCAUUUUUUUAAAUAUCGCAAAAACUAAUCGAUAGUUUUAGAAUUUCAGAAAGGGUUCGAAAAGAGACGGGAAUUUCCCAAGACAAGUCCGAUUGGACGGAAUCGUGACAAUUAUUUUCAAUUCCUCACAGGGGUGGAAAUACGGCCGAGAACGGGUAUUCUGGUUUCUGCACGUCGUGCUCACACUGAACACUUCAACAAUAUAAAAUUUUCGAAGUUACUAAAUAUGAAUAUUAGGGAAUACAAGAAUUCAGGCUGUAAGAGUUAUGGUUUUGUUGCGUUCGUUCCCUGGUCAAUAUACGUAUAUGAACUUAAAACUAAAAUAUUCUUCUUGUAACGAUAUAUAGGUAUAUAUAAAGAGAGAAAAAGAGAGAAAAAGAGAAGAGAGAGAGAAAAUAAACAAACGAAUUAAGACAUAAAAACGGAUUACCAGCUCAUCGACACAUGAGCCAAACAUGGCCAACAUGGACAUCGUGAGAGCGGGACGCACUUGAACCAUUUGAUGUACUGGGACCGAGGAAUUGAAAUCUUGGGGCAAUAGAGUCGACCGAUACCCGCAAAAAUAUUCAGGACAAGUCAAUUACUGGAACUCAGGACAAACCGGUACAUCAAAAAUUACCGAUAAGAGACAAAAGAUAAGUCGCGCACAUUCCUUCUCUUUCUCAUUUCACGAACAUCGACGUUUGUUAUAAUUCUAUAUAUUAUUUAUUCGUCUGUAUAUCAAUUUCUAUAAUUUAUUCUCAUCACGUCCGAUUUAUUUUCAAUGUCUGUGUCAUAGAAAAUUGAUUUUAUUCAUACACUUUAUUUAUUUAUACAUCUGUAAUGUUUGUUAUAUUUUCUUUUUGACUUGGACUAAAAUUUUCUUUGUCUAUAUAUAUAUAUUUUAAAGAAUCUGAUUCGAACUGAGAGAUAUAUUUUGUGACGAAGAUACGAUGGUAAAAUAACUGCCACUUUUAAAUUUCAUGGACAUGCUAAAUUUUUGACGAUAAAUUUAUUUUAAAUUAUACCUAAUUCGAUUCUGCGUGAAUGUUCUGUGUUUGUCCGAUUUCAUGUGUUAGAAAUUAAGCGAAUCUAUUUAUUACAUCUUUCCUACUUUCUUUUUCCUUCAUUAAGUUAUUUAUUCUCUCUUUUACAAAUGAAAGAUGAACAAGAUUGCUAACAAGGAAAUAUCAAUAGAAAAAAAAGCAAUAUAAUAACUUGCGAAACAUAACAUUUAGGAAAUAAAAAUAAAAAAUCAUUUCAUACUUAAUUACUAAGAGAAAGAGGUCUAUUUUGUGGGUGUUUGAUUAGGUGCACGUAUAUUCGGAUUAGGUCUGUUCUGUUAAAUGAUGGUGUAGAUGAGCGUCCUUUCGGUGAGAAGAUAUAAAGGUGUCGGCGGCAGGAGUAGUAGUCGUUAUAUCGUUGUUCAGGUAUUUCAGUUUAAUUCAAAUUGCGUAACGAUACGGCGUCCGUGAUGAAUUUCGUUUUUUAAACGGCAAGCACUCGUGAGGUGUGCUUGUUCUUGUCUCGUCUCACAAUCGGUGGGUCUGUGUCGUUUGCUUGCACAUCGAUCUAGCCUAAUGCAAUUGCUGCACUGUCUUGUCUACGUAUAUUACUAUGUAUGAUGCUGACCACGUACACUUGAUUUAGCCCCAUAUGACACCACUGCCUCCCUAGUCACCACUUUGCUAGCAAGGUUAGGUGCCGACUGACUCCUUCCAUUCUUCUUAAUUGCUUCUAACCUCAUCGUUCUUCUCUUUCUUCCCGAUUUUCUUUCUCUUUUUUACUAAUCUUAUUACAUAGUAUACAGAAUCCUACAAGGCACUGACCGAAUAGAUAAGCAAACAAUAAUCCACUGGCCAAAAAUUCAAAUCGCGAUUUUUCAAUUAGUUUUCUAUUAUAUGAUUAACAAUUUUUCAACGCCUGGACAUGAACAUUGCAAGUGCAAUAAUUGUUGAACAAUACACCUGCGAUUUUUUUCUUCAAUCGGGGUUAUUUUUGAGGAGCUUCAGAAUAAAUCCCCGUUAAAAUGUGUAGAGAUUUCAAUUUUCAAUUUUUCUAUGAACAAUUUACGUAAAUAGAAAAUUUGAGACCCAAAUUGACCAUCUGUAAAAAAAAAAAUUUUCCGGAUAUUUUGAUUAAUCCGUUUUCUACUAUCAAAAACAACAUGCAAAUAAUUUUGAAAAAUUUUUAUAAGCAAAUGCUUUGUAAAUGAGAUGAUUGGAAUUUUUUUUUAGAACUGAAUGUUUGAUGCAAAUGGUUUUCUGAAAAAAUCGUUCCUUGGAAAAAAAAUUUUAUUGCUUGACAACAUAUCUGUCAAUGACCAUUUUUUUUACUACUCGAUAAUAGGGAACCGUUUCCCACUGAAAUCAUGAUUUACCUUGGUCUUCAAUAUUCGAGGAAAAUUUUUUGGUUCAUUCAAUCUUUCAUUGUUUAUUUGACGAACAAUUUGAUUCCACCGGGACAAACGUAUAUAAUUUUAUCAUUCAAAUAAACUUGACAUAUGCUACUGUGCGUUGUUUUUUAAAGAAGAAAAGUUCCUUAAUAUUGAUUCUAAGUGGUAAAAAAAAAUGAAUACUGAUCAACAAAUCCGUUUUGAAGCAAGAAAAAGUUUUUCUAAGGAACGAUUUUUUUUUUUUAAUCAUCAUUUACAUCACUGAUUUGGUUUCCACCAAAAAUUUUGUCAUCUUAUCAACAAUACAUUUGUUCAUAACAAUUUUUCAAACAAUUGGACAUGAAAAUUCAAGAUCAUCAUUUUCAUGAAGUUUUCGAUCAUAAAAAAACGAAUAAAUUAAAAUAUUUAGACAAAAAUAUUUUCUUGAUAUGGUAAAAUUCAUUCAUUCGAUUCAUUAAUUUCAGUUAUCAAUUUUUUUAUUACGUUAAUUGUUAAUGAAAAUUGAUUCAGUUUUCAAGAUAUUUGCAAAGAGCGAAGCCCCUUACUUUACACUUAAUUGUUUAUAACUUUUAAAAUUCUUGCGAGCGGAACUCGAUUUUUUAUGAAAAUCAUCUACGUGCCGUUCCGAAUCGAAUGACACCUUGUUCAUAUUUUUCCGAGACUGCUUGAGAAGUUGACCAGAAAGGCACUUGUUGACAAGACUAAUUCCAAGAAACUACCGAUAGUGGAAGAAUUUCGAAGACCAAAGAACGCUCAAGGUAUUAAACCUGGUGUACACACGCAUUUUAAAAUUGAGUAAAUUUAAGAAAUCUGUGAAUGGAUUGAUCACAAAGUGCGCGUAUGGACCAGACAUUAAAGAAUUCCUUGGCUGGGACGGCUACUGCAAAAGAUUUAUUUCUGAUUAUUCGAAAAAAGAUAAAUCACUCUUGAAUUUAUCAAAGAAUGAAGUACUGUUUCAAUGGAAAAAAUGAUAAGACGAAGCCUCUGUAAAUAUUCACAAGUGGAGUUCACGCUAUUUUUGGCCAUGAAAAAUCGAAAAUUGAACAUUUUCCAAGUUUAUUUUUUUUUCAAAUAAUUCUUUCACGGCGGAUUGAUGUAAAGAAAGCGUCAACAAAGACUUAAUAUUCCAAUCAUUUUUUGUAAUUUUAAAGUAUGAAAAAAUAAUCAUCUUCAAGUUCGGUAAUUAUGCCAAAUCUAAUGAAAAUUUUCUCUAAAAAAUAUAUCCGGCAUAUAGGGUCAUUUCUGAGUGCCUUAUUAGUAAUGGAAGAGUGAAAUUAACAAUUAGGUGGUGGUCAGGUAGCAAAGACCUAUAGGUGUCAUAAGUAUAGCUCGGCGCACUUACGUGCGAGACCACCUAUUUAACCCUUGGUCGCUCCCAGGUCAAGUCAAAUGUUCAAUUUUCAAAAUUCAAGUAUUUGUGUAAUCAAUUUGCCAUGAAGAUGGACAAUUUGGAGAAAAAAUCUAGGAAUGUUACUCUUUCGAUUUUUUAUGCCUAAAAAUAGCGUGGACCGCAUUCGAAAAUUGGGAAAUUUUUAAUUUCUGAGUUUUUUUUUUUAAAUUGAUUCAUUUUUCAUGUACUUAGAGAUAAAAAAUACCUACACUCUUUUGAAUAAAAAUUUUGACCAGAAAUAUGUUUUUUGGGAUUCAAAAAUUGAAAUAACUCGUUCAAAUAUCCAAUUCUUCAGAUUGUAGUAUUUUUUCCAUUGAUCUGCCAUUAAGAUAAACAAUUUAAAAAAAAUCCCAAAUAUCUGAAUUUUUAUCGAUUUUCAAUAGGCAAAAAUAGCGUGGACCCCACUGCUAAAUAACUACUGAGACAUUAAUAGAAUUAUGCGACAAAUUAUUCAAUGAACUGAUAUUACAGUACAGUAAAUUCAAUAAAUGAUUUCUGCGCCUUUGUUUAAAAAAUAAAGAUGAAGGUCUUGAGAAACUGAACGGGCCGAAUGUUGAUAAAGAAAGAAAUAAUAAUUAUAUUUCGAGAGCCACUUGACAUCUGGAUAUACGACUAUAAAAUAAACGGUACUGACAUAUCAACCAGUAUACCCGUAACAAACCAAGCUAGAAACCUUAGCGGUCACGUUCCACCGAGUAAAAGCGAUAAUUCAGACGCCUUGUCAACAACGACACUCAGCUAAGCUGAUUUAGAGCCUUAUGUAACUCCACACCCUACGCUGCAUAAUCAAGAUCGAAUUUGUGAACCGGAUCACUGUACUGAUUCAAAUGAAAACAAAGCUUCUGAAAAUUUCGACGACUCGACCAACGACGACGGUGACUACCCAAGCUUUCUUGAGCAUCAUGAAUCAGACGACGAUAGCUAUAAUGACUCAAAACCUCAUAACAUGGACCAAGAUACCCCAACUAGGGUAUUUUAGAAAAAACUUUUGUUCAAAUUCGAAGUCAAAGUUCCAUUUAUAUGAAACGAACCUCUAAACCAGCGAAUCUAAUGAAAAAUCAUGAGAAACUUUUUUUGUAGAACGUUCAAUUCUCUACAAAAAUAUGUCUUCGUCAACUCUGUAUAUUGACUUGUUAGCGAGUUAUAAAAUUCAGAAGCGUAAGAAAUAUCAUUUUUCCUGAGUUAAUGUUAUGAAAAAUAAAAAAGUGUGAUGAGAGAUACGUAAAUAUUAAUAUUAAGAGCUGAAAUUUCAACUGGCAUCUUUUUGAGUCCAAACAAAACUUUUGAGCCUGUUUCCAAAAAAAAAAAAAAACAAAAGUUCUUCCUGAAACACCGUAAGGACCACCUAUAUUUUGAGAUCAAUGAAAAUUCACAAAAAUCUACCCCUGACGAUACCAGAGACAGCGACCAUAAAAGGAACGCAUGCAAACAACAGCGACCAUAAAAGGGACGUAUCCAUAACUGACUUAGAAGCCGGAAUUACUUCUAGUCAAGCCCAAGCGACCCUUUACAAAAACCAUAUGUUGAUUUCGAACCAGAACAAGGAACAAUUCAAUUCUCUGAAACUCGAGAAAACCUUCCACUCUGAAAAGGCAAUAAAGUAUUCUUCACGUGGAUGUCCUUGAACUCGCAAAUAUCCUUCGGUCAGCUCUUAAACGACCCUCUUUUACAGAUGUAAUAUUCGGAAGACCCGUAGUUCAAGAAAAUGAAAAAACUCGCUACAUAAGUAACUAGUAAAAAAACGAUACGUAUAAACUUACUUUUGGAUAAAGACACACACAGUAAAGCUGCACAAUCGCUACACAAAGUAGUACCAGAAUCACAAUUAGAUGCCCCAACGAUUCUAAAAACUCGAAAUACAGGCAAUUGCACACACGGAUAUUGAUCGCCAGACUUCGUUAUAAUUUUCAACGUGACCGCGGAAGAUGGCGUCGGACUCCAACAGCGACGACUGCUGUCGGCGUUUGAAUUUAACUGUCAGACCUCUCAACUUGAAAGUUUAUAACUACGAAAACAAGAAUCUCAUUUCCGAAUAUGAGUCUGGCCAAUAUGAACUAUUUUGGUGAAUUCCAGUUUUUCCAAUUCAAAAUUCGAAAUAGAUAGAGAAACUUCCAAAAAAUUUGAAGUGGCGGACAGCCGAAUUGCAAAAGUUAUUGACGAUUCAGUGCAAAAAAAAAGGGUUGGUUAUUUGCUAAUAUCUCAAAAACUAUUACAAAUAUAUAAAAUCUGAAAAAGGAUCCCUAAAGAACAAGAAGUUUCCUUGAGAAAAGUACUACCUCCCGGAACUUUACCGCAAUUAUUUAUACUUGUGAUUAUGAGAUGGAAUUAGUGCUAAAAACGGGUGAAGUGAGUUCGGCACGCGCCUUACGCAGCGUAAGAAUUGUCGCCUUCGUAUUGUCUAUCGGGGCAAUUGCCUUCCGAUCUUUACGCCUGUCCAAGUGAAAUAUUUUCGCUUGUCCGCAGUGACACAUUUUUGACUGGUCCAUACUGGUACAGCAUUCAGGGUAUUAGCGUCAGCUACAGCUGACUGCCUAAUUUCAUGACCGUUACCUGAAGGAACGCUUGAGGAAAUAUAUCUUGGGAAGUCGGCCGGUGAGAAGCCGUAGCGCAGAAAGAUCCGUGGAACUAGGGAUCCUCCGAUUAGACCGCCGAUUUCGACCUAACAACCGAUAUUGUAAUUAUCGUUUUUUGUAUUGUAAUAACCUGACUGAUUGAGGUUUCAUAUAAUACCGAACGUUUUACAUUGUUAGUUGUAUAAUAAGGAUCACAGCCCAGUGAAGGAACUUAUUGUAUUGUAAAAUCCAGCCCCUCAACCGUUCAGUACCACAUCUACGCUAGCUGAGUUGCCGCCUGUCCCAAUUUUUUUUCAACUUCGUAUUUUUAUGUGAAUUCCGCUUUGUCAAGUAUUUCGUGAUGCACCAGCGUCCAGGCCCAAACCGAGUGUUCGAUCAGUUUCGUAGCUCCUUGAGCCGUGAAGCGGGAUGACACGAGUACUGGCGGUGCUGGUUCCCGCCAACGGCGUAUAACAACAAUGGUAAUUUCAACACUUGUAGCAGAUUUACAAUCAGUGAAAAAUGCUCGAUCUCGAAUGACCUGGUAGAAACUCAAAAAGAGAAGUUCCCGUUGAUGAAAAAGUCAUAAAUGCGGCGAAACUCCGCAAAGUAUUGUGGAAUAUAAAAAAUGAAUUGUACCACGACAAUCUCCACAAGAAGGAAAUUUGGGCUGAGGAUGCCUACGCAUUACAAAUGGAUGGUCCAGUCUGAUUAUUGAGUCAAGGUUUAUCAUCAACUGACUGUGAGUUUUGAAUAUCUGAAUAUUGGAAAAUGGCGCGGAAUUUGAAUGUUUUAAUGUCCUUCUUCAAAACUAUGGAGACUACAAACAGUAGUAGUGAUGACGAAAUUUUGCACAUAUUCAAUUCUCGUGUGGGAAUAGAUAGACCACAAGCCGAAUCUUAUACAGAUGUUGUCAGCGUAUACGAUGAUGAAGAGGUACAGUAAAAACAAGGCUGUGCCGAGAGAUGUAGCUGGGCGAUUUGGUAUCGAAGAAUCCACAAAACAUGCCAGCAAUGAAGAAGUAAUGGACUCGUCAAACUGAAAAAUACAAAGAAUAAGACGGAGAGAAAUUCCACAAUUGAAGGUGAACUUUUGGAAAAAAUUUGCACUUAUCAAGAUUUGCGUUUUCAUAAAAUAACAUCCAAUCGCUUUUUCUAAUGUUGUCGAGAAAGAAUAUGCUUAGACCAGGUAAUUGGAAAAAAUAAACUGUCAACAAUUCGAAAAAAAAUUGCAAUAUUUCUUAAUCUACCCGAUGUGAAACAAUAUACAGGCCACUCAUUCCGACGUACCCCAGCCGCCCUUUGCGCUAACAAAGGUACGAAGCUUGAAACAAUAAACUAAAAUAUGAUAAAAUAUAUGAUCUAUAAGAUUGGAAUGUAUGUCAUCAAAAAGUAUCUUUAUCUACGACAUCCUCUGAAUUAUUAUUUUUUCGGGUGCUAAUAUAACAGCAAUGAAAAUACUCAGAGACUGGAAGUCGACUGGAGUCAUCGAGAAGAAUCUUCAUCUACGUAAUCCACUGAAUUAUUAAUUUUUUGGGUGCAGAUAUAACAGUAAUGAAAAGACUCGUAGAAUGGAAGUCGACUACAGUGGCCGAAGUAUAAAUCGAAGACCAUUGGAUAUAAAAGAGAGAUGGAAAAAUAAAUUUUAAAUGCUAUCACAAUGGCGUCAACGUCAUUCGAAUCUUCAUCAUACCAACAACCUUUUAAUUGUCAGAAAUUGGAGCAAGAUAAUCACAAAAAUAAACACAGCAGCGUCAACAUCCAACGUCAUUGAAAAAGCAACUAUGUUCGACUCAUCAAUGAAUGUACACAAAACUCCGAUAACCAUAAAUAUGACUAAAUGUUUUACUGCAACAAUUAUUUUCAAAACUUAAACCUUCUUGGAAGAAAAAAAAAAAGAUUUUUCUGAAAUAAAUUCAUAUUUGGAAGAUACUCCAAAGACCUUCAAAA